UACGUAGGGUGCGAGCGUUAAUCGGAAUUACUGGGCGUAAAGCGUGCGCAGGCGGUUUUGUAAGCCAGAUGUGAAAGCCCCGGGCUCAACCUGGGAAUGGCAUUUGGGACUGCAAGGCUGGAGUUUGGCAGAGGAGACUGGAAUUCCUGGUGUAGCAGUGAAAUGCGUAGAUAUCAGGAGGAAUACCGAUGGCGAAGGCAGGUCUCUGGGCUAUAACUGACGCUCAUGCACGAAAGGCGUGGGGAGCAAACAGG
rnacentral:rRNA from 1 species